UUGGGGGAGGGGAGUCUCUAUAUGAGGUCUGGGGCCAUCACUCUUCCCCUGACAGGUCCCAGCCCACGGCAGAACCCAGGGCCUGGGUGUGUUACUUGGAUAACAGUGCUGAGCUGCUCAUCGGCCAGUUUUCGGGCAGAGGAGCGGGACACCUCAUCUGGGAUGUCUACGGCCCUCAUGGCUGCCAUGUAGGAUGGGAAGUCCGAGCUGGAUGUGGUCUCCACUGGGCUGAUGUCCACGGCAAUCAGGCGUUCCACCAACUCUGGCUGGGUGGGAGAACCAGACUUAGGACUGGCCUUAGGGCAGGCACACUGGGUCUCAUGCAUAGUUCCCAGAUCUUGAAUUUGGCCAUCAGAGGCUCAACCGAGUCCCAGGUUGCCUGUUGGGCACUCAGGGUAUACGCUGGGUGGGAGGAAAACCCGUAUAGGGACAGCUUACCCUCUGGAGUGCCAGCAGCAUGGCUGUCUUGCCUCCCAUGCUGUGGCCAAUGAGGACGCAGGGCACUAGGCCCAGCUGGGGCAGGAGGUCCUGCAGGUCCUGGCUCAUGGCCUCGUAGCUCAUUUCUGGGCUGUGGGGGCUGUCACCAUGGUUCCGAGCAUCCACUGUAAGCACCUGCAGAGUGCAGUGAGGGUGGGCAGAGCUGGCACCCACAUUCAGGGCACAGACAGCCUAAGGCAUGACAUUUGCGCAGGCUGAGGGGAGUAGAGAGCCUGGAGAAAGAUCCUGAAGCGGAAGAAGAGACCCAAUGGUGAGGGGGCCCAGUUCUCAGACCUAGGAGACCAAAUAAAGAACAUGGAGUCACUCAGCUAGAGAAGGCCCAAGGAGUGUGGCCCUGUCUCUAAAGGUUUGGCCUGGUUGAGUGAACACCCAGAGUAAGCAGGUGCCAAGAAUUUCCAACAGUUGGAGCACAGAAGGAUGGACUACUGUAAAAGGUGGUAAGCCCCCUGUCAUCCCGGGUGAACGAACAGGGGCUGGCCCCCUUAACCGAAAAGCUAUUGGCGUUUAGGCAUUGGACGGCUGAGCCUUAUGAUGAGGACAUCUAAGCUCAGCGUGGAGCACACACGUGGAGGUCUAUAACACGAAUGAAGGACAGGAUAGAUGCAAGCCUGAGAGAAUGAAUGAAGUCCACCCAGAGUCAGUCAGUACCGGUGCGCCGGUACUCCUGGGCAGGUGGCCUGCAGGAAGGGCAGAGAAGCGGGCCCCGCCUCGGCCUCCCCCUCUUCCCGCCCAGCCAGGCCCCACCUCCUGCGGGACCCCGCCUCUCCCGGAAGCUCACUCUCCGGCCGGUCUGCUGGGCCAGGGCCUUGGCGAUGGAGUUGAAGUUGGUUUUGGAGCCGAAGAGCCCGUGCAGAAACACGAGGGCCGGGCGAGCCGCCUCUCCGUCCAGAAGCUUGUAGGAAAGCAGCACCGACCUGGCGAGAGGAGCAAGGAUGGAGGAGGGGGUCCGAGCGGGCUGGGGACCGGGCUUAGGGGCGCGACCUGGGCGGGGGCGGGCGCAAGCGGAGGAGGCGGGGCCAUCCCGGCCGGACUGAACGGGGAGGAGCGAUGGACGGUCUCCCACAUGGCGCCCUUGACUGACCUCGGCUCGGCGCCGCUUCGGCCGCUGCUGCUGUGUGCGACGGGCACCCCGGAGAAGCUGAGGUUGCAUGGGCCGAGCGCCCUGACGGGGAGCCUCCAAGCGCGGGCCCAGCGGAGCAUGUCGGGCGCUAGCUACCUGCGCUAGCUACCGGCGCGCGCCUAGUCCAGCCCCCUCGCCCCGCCUCCCGCCUUCUCUCGGAGCCCCGCCCGGUUCCGGCUGCAGCUCCUCCCUCUGCCCCGCCCACUACCGCGAAUUCCCCGCUCCCGCUUUCGUUUCCUUACGUAAUCCCAGAGUACAGUCUGUUCUCCGAGCUCCGCCCCUUGCGUCAUUGCGUAAUCCGGCAGGCGGGAAAGCCGCCUCUGGCCACGCCCUGGGCGGGGCCACCGAGAGUCCUGGCCACGCCCCUCGCGAAGCUGUGCCCGGCCCCUUCCGGCGCCGGAUCCUCUCGGCGAGUCCGGGUCCCGGGGCGUGGGAGACCGGCCCUCGCCGCUCGUAACGCCCUGGGUUUGGGGCGCGAGCUCUGGGCGGCCGCGGGGCACGUCCUUGGCAAGCCGAGGAGGUCCUGCCUUGGCCAGCGCCUCUGCUCUCAUGCACCGCCUUGGGUGGGUGCCACACUUUCAGUGCCGAGGGCCGAGGGCCGGCGCGGAGAGGCGCCAGCAGUGGCUCCCGUCGUCGGGGCGCCAGCCUGGAGGCGCCGUGCUCCACAGCCGGGGGCCCAGGCAGGCCAGGGGUGCACCUCUUACCCGUCUUGAAGUCUUCGACUCUAGAAAGAGAAGGAGGGACUCUAGAGAGCUCAUCUCCAACCUCCAUCCCUGCCCGCCCUUUCCAGAUGGGGAAACUGAGGCCAGUGGCUUGUACAGGAGGCAGAACCAGCAUCGCUGUCUGAUCGCCCCCCCGCCCCCCGUCUGCCAUUCUUGAUGAGAUUGGCGGGAGACCAGGUGUUUGUACUGGAAGGUAUUUGCUGCUUUGAGCUGAAAUGAGUCAGGACUCCUGCUGGGAUGCUGUGGCUGCCUUCCAGAUAGCCAGUGGCCCAACUCCUAUACAACUGUAAAGGUCCAGGAUAACUGCCACCACCUCAAAAGCCUUCCUAGAUUUCCCCAGUUGAAACCAAUCUCUCCUACCCUAUGUUCUCAAAACAUUUGUGAGAAUCUACUGUCCAGUAUCAUAGAAAUCGCCUUCUCCAGGUCCACCGUACUCUGGGAGCUCCUGGAGGACGGGAGCCAUGUUUUGUUUAUCUGGUGCAAAGUGCAAUAGUAAUCAUUUUACUGAAUGAUCAUGAGGAGAUUCAGGGCACUCUCUGAGGCAUAGGUGAAGGUUCAUCUGAUGCCUGGGUCAGUGCCCCUUCCAGGAGAUGACAUCCAGACCAGCCAUGCCUCUCCCUCUUUAGUUAGGGCAGGCUUGAUGAAGUCAAUCAGUAGGAUGCGUCUGAGCUCCAAGGUGUGUAAUAAAUACCUUGCCCAAUAAAGCGCCCCCAUCUUGCGUCA